CUUAGCUACUGUUGAAGUGAGAGCUCAGGAUCACGCAUCCAGCCCAUGUCAGAGGCAGCAUUUGAACCCAGGUUCCUGACCACAAGAAGAGGAAACUGAGCCCCAGAGAGGUUGCUUAACUUGCCAAAGAUCACACUCGAUUCCCACCAUGUUUUCUCACUCCAAGUUGCUAUUGACCCCUCCAGGAUCUCUUAUUGUAUCUCCAAGUUCAAGGUGCAGGAGCUCCCUAAGCCUGGUGCCAGCCUGGAGGAGCCUCAUACCGUGAGACAGAGACACUGACAGGCAGGUAUUGGACAUACGGAUGGCAGAAUGGAUGCAGAAGCACGGCCAUCACCUUCAGGGCAAGGGUAACACAUUCUAGCAGUGAGAAAGAAGAAGUGAGUCUAAUUAGGAGUCACAACAUUCAUGGCCAGCUUGAGCAGACUCAGGGGUCCUGGAUGGGAGGAGCUCCUAGUUUGGCGUCUUUCCUCUGGUUGUCUAAGUGUGUCCAAUGGCAGAUGAACAAUAAAGAUGGCUGCUCUAACACAA